AUUGUGUGUGUAGAAUUAUUGACAUCUUCCUGAGUCCGCUGUUAGUGUUGUUGCACCCAAUAGGGCGGGACAAAUGACACCUUUGUCCUCCUUAUUGGUA